rnacentral:rRNA from 1 species
CCUACGGGAGGCUGCAGUGGGGAAUAUUGCACAAUGGGCGCAAGCCUGAUGCAGCGACGCCGCGUGAGCGAUGAAUGCCUUCGGGUCGUAAAGCUCUGUCGAGAGGGACGAAGUCUAUGAGCUGAAUAAGCGAAUAGGUGACGGUACCUUUUAAGGAAGCCCCGGCUAACUACGUGCCAGCAGCCGCGGUAAUACGUAGGGGGCGAGCGUUAUCCGGAAUUACUGGGCGUAAAGGGUGCGUAGGCGGCCUUUUAAGUCAGAUGUGAAAGGCUACGGCUUAACCGUAGUUAGCAUUUGAAACUAGAAGGCUUGAGUGCAGGAGAGGAGAGUGGAAUUCCUAGUGUAGCGGUGAAAUGCGUAGAUAUUAGGAGGAACACCAGUGGCGAAGGCGACUCUCUGGACUGCAACUGACGCUGAGGCACGAAAGCGUGGAGAGCGAACAGGAUUAGAUACCCGUGUAGUC